GAUGAACGCUGGCGGCGUGCCUAAUACAUGCAAGUCGAGCGAACGGACGAGAAGCUUGCUUUUCUGAUGUUAGCGGCGGACGGGUGAGUAACACGUGGAUAACCUACCUAUAAGACUGGGAUAACUUCGGGAAGCCGGAGCUAAUACCGGAUAAUAUUUUGAACCGCAUGGUUCAAAAGUGAAAGACGGUCUUGCUGUCACUUAUAGAUGGAUCCGCGCUGCAUUAGCUAGUUGGUAAGGUAACGGCUUACCAAGGCAACGAUGCAUAGCCGACCUGAGAGGGUGAUCGGCCACGCUGGAACUGAGACACGGUCCAGACUCCUACGGGAGGCAGCAGUAGGGAAUCUUCCGCAAUGGGCGAAAGCCUGACGGAGCAACGCCGCGUGAGUGAUGAAGGUCUUCGGAUCGUAAAACUCUGUUAUUAGGGAAGAACAUAUGUGUAAGUAACUGUGCACAUCUUGACGGUACCUAAUCAGAAAGCCACGGCUAACUACGUG
rnacentral:rRNA from 1 species